UGGCUCAGUUGGUAGAGCAUGGUGUUUGCAACGCCAGGGUUGUGGGUUCGAUUUCCAU
rnacentral:tRNA from 1 species